CACGUAGGGGACGAGCGUUGUCCGGAUUUACUGGGCGUAAAGAGCGCGCAGGCGGUCGUUCAAGUCGCGUGUGAAAGCCCCCGGCUCAACUGGGGAGGGUCACGCGAUACUGAUCGACUCGAAGGCAGGAGAGGGUAGUGGAAUUCCCGGUGUAGUGGUGAAAUGCGUAGAUAUCGGGAGGAACACCAGUGGCGAAGGCGACUACCUGGCCUGUUCUUGACGCUGAGGCGCGAAAGCUAGGGGAGCAAACGGG
rnacentral:rRNA from 1 species